rnacentral:piRNA from 1 species
UGAAUUUCCAUGUGGGUAAAUACACAAAGC